GACGAACGCUGGCGGCGUGCUUAACACAUGCAAGUCGAACGGAGCGGCGAACGGGUGAGUAACACGUGGGUGACCUGCCUUGCACUUCGGGAUAAGCUUGGGAAACUGGGUCUAAUACCGGAUAGUGCAAGAUGAGCUCGCGGCCUAUCUGCUUGUUGGUGGGGUAAUGGCCUACCAAGGGGUCGACGGGUAGCCGGCCUGAGAGGGUGUACGGGCACAGUGGGACUGAGAGACGGGCCAGACGCCUACGGGAGGCAGUAGUAGGGAAUGUUGCACGAUGGGCGGAAGCCUGAUGAAGGGACGACGCGUGGUGGAUGGAAGCCUUCGGGUUGUAAACGCCGUUGGACAGGGACGCGGUACCUGAAUAAGAAGCACCGGCUAACUACGUGCCAGCAGCCGCGGUAAUAC
rnacentral:rRNA from 1 species